GGUGGGUUGGCUCAGUGGUUAGAGCGUAGGACUCGUAAGCGACAGGUCGCGGGAUCGAAUCCUGCUAAAGGCUG
rnacentral:tRNA from 1 species